rnacentral:lncRNA from 1 species
CCAGACAUCUCAGCCUGACCCUGCAGUCACUAAUGCACUGGGGGUAGAAGGGAAGGGUGUGUAUUGGAUAAAUCUGGCAACCCAGGGAGCCUUGCUUUUAGCAAGCUUAGGAGAGGCAGAGGAGGGCAAAAAGACUUGGAAGGUGGCAAGGGAGGCAGAAACCUGCCAAGGGCAAAGGAAAAGUACUCUGAGUGACAGAAAAACAGUUUCAAAUUAUAGCAGUGAAUGAAGUAGGGUGUGCCAGAACUCAGGUAGACCAAUGGUGCUGAUGUGGAUCUUACACAAGGAAAGCACAAUUCAUCCUUCAGAAUCCAAUGGAUAGAUAUUAUGGGGAAAGGCUUGGAGCUCAAAGCAGGGGAAUGCAUUCUAGCAGUCUGUCACCCAGGGAUAGGAUGGGCCUGGAAGGGAGGUACUGAUCUUGAAUCCCAUGUGAAUGCCAGGAGAGGCAUCCUAUGGAGACCGUUUUCAAGCAUUGAACAGACCCAGGAGUCUGCGAUUUCAGAGUUUUAAAAUUCCUGGAAGAAUCCAGAUAAAUGCUGCAAGAAAUACUUCUGAAGACACCCUUUCCAGGCUCCUGGAAUGCCAAGGAGAGAGAGAUGCCUCAUCUGGAUUCUCUGUCUACCUGCCCAUGGUUCCUUCAUGCCUCACCUGACAGAGCAGCAGAGUAGGGAAGGUGGGUGGCAGGGAUGGGCACAAAGAUCAGCUCUGAAUUUGACAGUGGUAUGGCUUGAGACAUUCCUUACCCUCUCUGUUCUGAUUUCCUUAUCUGUAAAAUAUGUCUGAAAGGUGCAUUACUGGGUCAGAUGAACGGUAUCCAAAGCACAUCUCUAGAGAAGAUGGGAGCUGGUAUUAUUAGGAAACAAAGCAACAAACCAAUAAAACACCUGUCCACCCCACAGAAAUUAUUUAGGUUUUAGGAACUAAAACCCCUAAUCAGGGGCACUAUCAGGCCCCUGACCUCAUGGAGAACCAGGUUAAAGAGUAGCUAUUCUUUGGGUUGAUGGAGUCAUCCAGAAAUUUAUUGAGCAUAUUGAUUUAUUUCAUUAUACACCAAACAGCAUCGUGUUUGAGCAAUAGGAAGGAGAGUUGACUCAGUAGACCCUCAGAGAUCCAAGCUACUUGGCAAUAAACUAUCCUGUACCUUGGACUUGGGGAAAUUAGCAAUGAUGUUUAUUAUAAUUGGUGUUUACUCAACAUGAC